UGAAUGCAGAAUGUUAUCCAGAAGCCACGUGCCGUUAAAAUGUAGAUUGCUGCUACAAACUGCAGUAGCAGUAAAAUCGUAAAAGCGAAAUGUUGUCUAAUAAAAACUUGCUUCUUCUCCUGGUAGCUGUCCUUGGUUCCUCAUGGAUUUUCAAUGGCAAUUCCAAUGGGUAGCUUAUGCUUACUGGUCAUCAUCCAAAAAGAAUUUCAAGUCGAAGUACCAUUAACAAUUCAAUGCCCUGAUAAGAACCAGGUGAUUUAUAAAAUAGAACUAGAGUUUGAAGAAUUCACGCCGCUGACUGUUGGCAUCUGGAUCAGAGAAACAUAUUACUGGUUACCUAUCGCACCUUAUUACAUAAUUGAAAUAAAAAACGGCACGGAUCUAGCGACUUAUCACAUUCCCAAUGUAUUUUACAGAGGAG
rnacentral:lncRNA from 1 species